AGAACGAACGCUGGCGGCAGGCUUAACACAUGCAAGUCGAGCGCCCCGCAAGGGGAGCGGCAGACGGGUGAGUAACGCGUGGGAACAUACCCUCCGGUUCGGAAUAGCUCAGGGAAACUUGGAUUAAUACCGGAUACGGCCUAGCGGCGAAAGAUUCAUCGCCGGAGGAUUGGCCCGCGUUCGAUUAGCUAGUUGGUGAGGUAACGGCUCACCAAGGCGACGAUCGAUAGCU
rnacentral:rRNA from 1 species